rfam:Xiphophorus maculatus strain JP 163 A Contig44.90, whole genome shotgun sequence.
UGAUGUUGUUCCUCAAUGACACGUUUUCUCCCGGAUUGCUGGUAAGCCUGAAUGCAACCGGGAAUUUCGUGUCAGCCAAGAAUGACAUCU